CCUACGGGGGGCAGCAGUGGGGAAUAUUGCACAAUGGGGGAAACCCUGAUGCAGCGACGCCGCGUGAGUGAAGAAGUAUUUCGGUAUGUAAAGCUCUAUCAGCAGGGAAGAAGAAAGACGGUACCUGACUAAGAAGCCCCGGCUAACUACGUGCCAGCAGCCGCGGUAAUACGUAGGGGGCAAGCGUUAUCCGGAUUUACUGGGUGUAAAGGGAGCGUAGACGGCUGUGCAAGUCUGAAGUGAAAGCCCAGGGCUCAACCCUGGGACUGCUCUGGAAACUGUAUGGCUUGAGUGCAGGAGGGGUAAGCGGAAUUCCUGGUGUAGCGGUGAAAUGCGUAGAUAUCAGGAGGAACACCGGUGGCGAAGGCGGCUUACUGGACUGUAACUGACGUUGAGGCUCGAAAGCGUGGGGAGCAAACAGGAUUAGAUACCCCGGUAGUC
rnacentral:rRNA from 1 species